CCUAAGUCCUACACCUAACACCUAAGUCUAACCCAAAGUCUCAGAGUCUACCUUACCUUCACACCUACCUGUUGCACUUAGCUUCAAGUGGGAUCUGUGUCCUGGUAAUGUUGAAUCAAGGCACACCACUGAAUUAGAUUGCACAAGUAUUUGUUCAUUACAGCACUGUUUCCUCAAGACAUGACUCAUACAAUUGUAUGCACACUACAGCAAUGCCUACAUGUUGACAAACAAAACAUGAAUACACUGAUUCCAUACAAUUGCAAGACACCGUUUACAGGCGCAGCACCCGCGCACUCCAUACAUUUUAAGGCAUGGUUUACAUAUAACACAUAUGUCCGAUUCACAAGACAAAGGUCACAAAGCCUCCAUAUCCAAUAAAUAACAUUACAUUUACACUAAUAUUGUGUACUGCAACCCACCUCAAGAGCAGAGCACAUCUCAGCCCACCUGAAGUAAAUGCAAGCCUCAGACAGGCCGGGAAGGAGCGCAAAUGGGCUCUGUUGGUUACGGGGUUGGGUUAGCCCUGCGGUACAAACAAACAAAGCAAAGCUAACCCAACCCCGUAAGCAAGGCUAAGCUAAAGCCAACUUAUUUGCAAUGCAUUAACUGCAAAGCUAAAGCCAAUUUGGUUGAGAUAAAUUAUUUGUAAAGCUAAAGCCAAUUGGGUUGAUGCAAAAUGACUGCACGCGCUGAAAUCAGUGUGACUCUCAGCAUGGCCGUGAGUCUCAAACAGCCUGGAUGGAGUGCGAAUGGUCCCUGUCCAGCUACGGGAUGUCAGUUACGGGAUUAGGGUCAGCCACGCUAGCAAUCUCAAAGCGAAGGUGACCCAACCCCCUGAGUGAGGCAAAGCCUUUGAUGUGCUAUCCCUCAAAAUUCUCUGAAAGAUUGCAGCCGGCUACUUGGACGGGUACGCUGCUUGCUAGAUGAAGAACUAGCUGAACCGCCUGGCCUAAUGAGUGCUGCUCCAUCGUGUUAAAUGCAGCUGGUAUGCCAUCCUGAGUGCUCUUCAGGCCUGUUCUGUCCAAUAUCUUCAUUGAAGACCUGCCUGAUGGCAUGGAGUGCACCUUUGGUAAGUUUGCUGAGGGUGUUGCAUCAGAUUAGCGCUAUGUUUGGAGUUCAGAGCUCAUUAGGAUUGGGGUGAAGGUAUAAGGGUUAGGUUUAUUAGGGUUAUGCUCAAAGGGACUGGUAGGGAAGGCCAAGGCAAAGGCAACAACACCCAAGGGAACACCAAAACCGAGGGCAAAGGCAUAGACAACAACCAAGGGAAGGCAACGUCAAAGGCACAGUGAAAGCAAAGGUAUGGAGAACACCAAAGAGAAGACCUCCUCAGAGGGCAGGCCCAAAGAGAGGGCCUCAGAGAACAAAACAGAGACCAAAGAGAACACCGUGGCAAGGCCAAAAUGGAGGGCGAGGUCCAUGAGAACGCUGCAGGGAAGGCCGAUGCAGGAGGCCAAGGGCAAUGGCCAAAGAGAAUGCAGCACAGAAGGCCAAAACCAAAG
ensembl:lncRNA